rnacentral:lncRNA from 1 species
CUUUGUCAUACAGGCCAGCAAUGUGGAGAGGAUGCGAUGUUGUUAAUCGUCUCUGUUUUCAAGUAUUGUGGUGGUAGCAUCAUGUUAUGGAUCAUAAUCACUUAUGUUAGCAAAAUAACUUAUGUUCCCAAGGCACAUGAGUGGGGAAACUUGUUAAACAUGAAAUGCAGUAACAUUGCUGACAUUACCACAUCCUGCCCUACCUUGGAUGAUGGGUUUAUAAGGAAGGACCUGUCUCCCAGCCCAGAUACCACUGCUGUUCAUCUGCCUGUCUACCAGACCAGCGUACCACUGCUGUUCACCUCCCUGUCUUUCUUUCCAUAAUGAAGCUUAUCCUGACUCUCUCUCUCAUCUGCACUCUCUUCUGCUCAGUUGAGAUGCUGCAGUGUUUCAAAUGCAUUGGUGAAGAAUGUACAAACUCAUCUUUAGUCAACUGUCCAGCCAUUUCCAACAAAACAUGUCUCACUGCAAACCUAAGGGCAAAAGGUCUCAUCAAUGUCACCACGGUAGUCAAGGGGUGUUCACCAACCUCCAACUGCGGAUCUCCUCUGAACAAUGGAACCACAGUGUCAGUGAACCAGGGCUUCUCAUACACUGCCUUUAACUUGCUCUGCUGUAACACCGAUGGGUGCAACAAUCAAACUCAGCCUGCCCCCAAUUCGCUGGCUAAUGGAAGACAAUGUCCCUCCUGCAGCAGCUUCCAAGACACGGUGUGUAACAGCACUGUGGCCUGCCUGGGUGUGGAAGACCAGUGCUUUAGCGGCAGUGUAACACUUGGCUCUACCAAUAUUACUACGGUGAAUCUCAAGGGCUGUACAACUUCCAACAUGUGCAACUCUAUUGAUCAACUGCUGCCCUCAGUGAAUCAACUGCUGCCCUCAGUGAAUCAACUGCUGCCUUCAGUGAAUCAACUGCUGCCCUCAGUGAUUAUCAUGAGUGCAAUCACGGCUGUGAAUUUCACCUGUAAGACAGCUCCUGCAACUGUAACCACAGCCCCUGUAACUGUAACCACAGCCCCUGUUACUGUAACUACAGCCCGUGUAACAGCCACAGCCUGGUCAAUCCGACUGAGCCUAGUCCCUCUGCUGCUGGGCCUCACCAUCAGCAAACUUAUUUGAUAUAAACAGAGAUGAACAUAUCGGGACUCAUCUGACAACAUAAUGCAUUGAUUAAAAAACAACAGAAUGUACAAUGAUUUUCAUGUAUUGUGAAAUACGCACUAUAAUUGAAAUUCUGUUUGCUAGAUGAUGCCCAGUUACAUUAUAUAGUGUGCUUGCUUGAGGAAAUACUUUCUUAUAUAUUACUCUGUAUAUUUUAUAAAGUGUGAUAGCUUGUAAGUUUAAAACAAGUCAAUGCCAAUAAAGUUUCUAUCACUUUACCAAAAUGGAAAUAAAGUGUUAUCUGAUUGUGAACGUAAACAAAUCACACAAUAUUUUUUAUUAGGAUUGUAUGCUACUUUUUUAACA